CAUAUUCUGCUGAAGGUAUUUUUGGAGGAGUUUUACAUUUCUGAUCAUUUCGUGUAGUUGUAGCAAGAUUCUGCCCUCCAACACGGACUCUUAUCACUACCCGAAAACGCAAAAUAUUUCGGUUCACAACCCGUUGUGCGUCAAAAAAAACACACAUAGAUUGCCCGUGGGAAGUGUGAACGGGGAGGUGAGUCGAAGAACGCAGUUUUUAAGAGGUUAAAUCGGCUCUGGAAAAACCCAUUGUCUGACUACUGAGAGGGGGGAGCGGCGCAUACCAUUCAACAAGCCAUUCAGCUUCACUGUAUGGGGAUCCGUUGUUUCCAAUCCCCCCUACCCGAGGUGAAGGGGUCCAGUUGAGCACAUUUAGGGGAUUCAAAAUCUAAAUUCGAUAUUGUGGGAUAAAUACUGAAUAGACCUGUUUUGUUUUUUGUUUUCGUUUUUUGUCCUUAGUUUUGUCCCGCUCCUACCCUGGAUUAAAGAGUGGGAGUGAUCCAGGGGAGCGAUGCUUGUAGUUUGCCGUCUCCGCGUUUAUAUUCUUGACCUGGGCAAAGAAACCCCGAAAAGUUAAAAGAGAUCACACAGCGCGAGACAGAAAGUCAUACAAAAAAUGAUGUGAGCGCCAGAGCUCUGACGCGUUGCUAUUACUGGAUUUUUUUUCUUCUUCUGCGUCUUAUUUCAAAAAUCCCCAUUUUCACAGGCUUCAGAACCAGCCGCGCGGAGACUUUGGAGGACUUUCCCCCCCGUUCUAAAUCGAUGUGAUUUGUAUGGGAUCGUAGGCAUGCGUGCCCGUCCGAUGUGAGCUCGCCGCGCGGAGACGGCAUGGCAAAGAAGAAUUAGUUCAAAAAAGCUGUUAUAUCCGAAGAACACACAACUUCUUAAAAGAGCUACACUUGCAUGGUUGUUUAUUUUAUUUUUUUAAAGAAACAAACACAAACGGAAUACAAAACAAACAAUUUACUGUCAAUCGCGGCUCUGUUUCCAAUUCGAAAAGUUUCUUUCCGUCCACGACUAGGAGACUAUUGCCGUUGCGAGUACAUUUAAGGAAAUUUGCAGAGCUAAUAGUUUAUCAAAUUGAAUUCUUUAAUAUUUUAACUGGACAUACCAACAGUCAAUGCGCAAGACACAAAUCAGGAUUUGAAGUUCGACACCAGUGUUAUAAUUCGACAUCAGGAUUAUGAAGGACAGACCAUCAAUAUUAUUGCACUAAUAAUUUGGAUUAUACAAGUCGCGAGAAACCUUGGAAUGAUGACUGCCAAUUCCAUGGGAUUCUUGCUUUUUGUUGGAUUUCUUCACGUUUGCUCAGUCUUAUCGACAUCCUGUUGCCAGCUCUCCUUCCACCUCGCAAAUGAAAACAAGCUGCUUCCAGUUUCCUCUCGCGGUACCGAGCGGCCGGGCCGCCGUCUCUUCGAGUUAGGCCUCCUCAGAAGAGCGCUCUUUCUUCCGGGCGGCGCUGCCAGCAUCCUCCAGCUCGCCGCUUUCAGUUAAUUAGAGGCGAUUGUUGGGAUCCCCGGCUCGAUUCGGGCGCGCUCAUUGUGUUUGUGACUUAUCUUCGCCAACAGCUGAAUGCAUUUUGUGGAUGUAUAACUCGAGUAUGUAAAUAAAUCUUUCCACCCCC